GUGAUCCGCCCACCUCGGCCUCCCAAAGUGCUGGGAUUACAGGCAUGAGCCACCGUGCCCGGCCUCUUUAAGCAUUUUUCUUGGGAGACAACCUUGAGGAAAAAUAAUUUUAGCUUAGACCAGAAUCACAGUUACUAUUUUUUUUUAAACUUUUAAGAAUAAUCAAGAGUUACCUUUUUGAGGUAAGAAUUAGGCCCAGCAGAUGGGUAUUGAAGAGAGAAGGAGACUGUGAGCGCUUGGGUGAGCACAGACCUCAUGUCUGCUCCUCAGGACAAACUGUGUGUAAGGGGCAGAGAAGGGAGGGGAUUCCAAGACCCAGCCCCUCCUCCAAGGAAAGAUGGAAAAUCCAUCACUGCUCUGAGGCUCCCAGAACACUCGCCCCUCUAAUGUCUGCUGUCCCUUUCUCCCAGAGCUGCUGCUGCCUCUCUGCUUUUCCUUCCUCCCCUUUCCUUUCCCUAGCCGACUUUUGCUUCCCUGGCACUUCUGACAUGCUUCUCCCAGCUGCUGCCCUUGAACUGCGGCCCCCUUCCUUCCCUCUGUGCUGUACCACCCAGGGGAGCCGGCUCCCAGGAUGAGCUGCAGCACAGUGCUUUCUCAGGUUGAGGGAGCCUCCUCCAGGGCUCGGGUACCAAGGCAUCUACAUCUUUAAUCAGGAAGGAAAUAGCACCACAUAACCCUGGGCAUAGGUGUUUCCCUCCCUCCUCCUUUUCAGGGAGGCUGGUUCCCAGGUCACCUCCUACCUGGUUCAACAAUAACAUCCCCCAUCUUUAAGAAAAAUGCUGUGGUUCAAAAGCCCCUCUGGGCCCAGCUGCCUUCCCCAGUACACAGAUCAUCUCCAUUGCCAGGGAGCUGCAAAGUGGCUCUGCACUUGCCAGAGGCUACACUGGUUAGUUAGAAUGCGGGUCCUGACUGCAGGCCUAACCACAGUCCACAAAAGCUCCCCAGAGAGUGUUCUUUGUUGGUAGGUUUGAAACAAAGGCCCAGGAAUGCGGCUUACACAGUCCUGACCCUACAGCUGGCCCUCCAUCCUCACUGCUCUCCCAGGAGAAGAUGGGAACUGGCUUCUUCAGCCAAGGACAAAGCCACGGUGGACAAUCGCAGACCCAGGCCCAAGGUUUGCCCUGUCUCCUGCCUCCAUCUUUACAAAUCUCAUGCAUGAGGCCAACUCCCCUCCUACUGAUGACUCCAUCUCCUCCGUUGAUCUCAUCCAAACAACCUCAAGGCACUCCACUGGCACUUGAUUUUGUAGUCUUGUGUGUAUACAUUCCACUUCAUUAUGAGACGGUAGAUAGAGGCUAAGACAAUGGAUGAGCUUUGAAGUCAAAUGGACAAGCAUUCAAAUCCUGGCUCUAUCUCUGUGCCCUCCUGGCAAGUUACUGAACCUGUCUCACCUUCAGUUGCUUCGGCUAUAAAAGCACUGCUCUAGAUGGAGAUACAGCGUGAGACAAAUUUCCUGGUCCUUAAAGAACUUAUUAAAUACAUUCUUUUUUUUUUUUUUUUUUUUUUUUUUGAGACAAAGUCUUGCUCUGUCACAAGGGUGGACUGCAGUGGCGCGAUCUCAGCUCACUGCAACCUCUGACUCCCUGGUUCAAGCGAUUCUCCUGCCUCAGCCUCCCAAGUAGCUGGGAUUACAGGCACGUGCCACAACGCCCAGCUAAUUUUUGUAUUUUUAGUAGAGACAGGGUUUCACCAUGUUGGCCAGGAUGGUCUCAAUCUCCUGACCUUGUGAUCCACCCACCUUGGCCUCCCAAAGUGCUGGGAUUACAGGCGUGAGCCACUGUGCCCGAACUUAUUAAAUACAUUCUUUAUAAAGACA